GUGAGACAGUUCGGUCCCUAUCUGGUGUGGGCGUUGGAUGAUUGAGGGGAGCUGCUCCUAGUACGAGAGGACCGGAGUGGACGAACCGCUGGUGUUCGGGUUGUCAUGCCAAUGGCAUUGCCCGGUAGCUACGUUCGGAAUCGAUAACCGCUGAAAGCAUCUAAGCGGGAAGCGAGCCCCAAGAUGAGUCAUCCCUGACAGUUUAACUGUCCUAAAGGGUUGUUGAAGACUACGACGUAGAUAGGCAGGGUGUGGAAGCGUAGUGAUGCGUUGAGCUAACCUGUACUAAUUGCCCGU
rnacentral:rRNA from 1 species